ACUCCCUCCACUGCGCCCCGCUCACACUCCCGCACCCUCCCCACACUGCGCCCUGCCCACACUCCUGCACUCUCUCCCCACUACGCCCCCUACCACAUCCCGCGCCCCCGCCCCCAUCCCCACUGCGCCCCGCCCACACUCCCGCGCCCUCGCGCCCCUGGGCUCUCCCGUCGUGGGCACUCUCCCCAGCGCUUCUACACUUUCUCCCGACGCAGCGCCCUGCCCUCCGUCCCGCCCCACCUAUUGCCUCCUGCGCUUCCCCCACACCGUGCUCUUCCUCCUCCUUCACUUCCUCCCACUCCUCGCGCUCCCCUUCAGCGCCCCACGCAGCCCCUCCCCCAAAACCCCGCGUCGCUCUCCUUCCCUCCUGGCCUCUCUUCCAGUCUCGCGCUCCCUGCCGGGCCCCGCCGCAGGUGUCCCGCAGCCGUCUCCCCAGGGCAUUUGAAUCUUGCCUUGGAGCUCUUGCCGCGCGGCCCAGCACCCUGGAAGAGGCAUCAGGGAGGAUGGGACGACGAGGAAGGGGAAGGUUAUGAAGGGCUGUGACACCUUGCUUGGCUUCUAGUCUUGACAUAGACUAAAAGGCAGAAGGUUUCCAGAGCUCACGCUGGAUGGCUGGGCAGAUGAGGUCUUCAGAGACUCUCCAGGGAGGUACGGCUCUGCCUUUCUACUCAGUAUGCAAGCUCCCCAGACUUCUGAAGAGGGAUGUUUCUCCUUAGAGAAAGUCUCCCUGAAUGUGGGUAUUUCAUAAGUUCUUGGACCAGUUCUGCUCUUCUCAGUCCUGCUUUUUGUCAACAUACAUUGAAUCACUUCUCCCUGGCAAAAGAGCAGCAUGUGAAGAAAAUGUGAUCCUUGGUGGUUUGACAUGAAAUUGACUUUUUCUUCUAGCAACACUUAUGAAUAUUCAAAUACAAUUAUGGAAAAGAUUUUUUGCACUGAUCAGCAUAACAAACAAAUUAGACAUCCCAGUGUGCAAAUAUAACUUUCUGAAUUUCCUAGUUUUAAAUAUUCCAGUGGCCAGGAUACCCUAUCCAGAGGAAGCAGGACCGUCUCAGCUGACCAGGGCCCUUGCCUGCUAAUAGCAUCAUGCAUACCUUGUUUCUUCAUGAGGCUGCUUGCCCGAGUUCCAAUCCACCAGGAAUUCAUCUUGUAUCAUAGCUGAUGGAUCCCGUGUCUCGUUUCUAAGUUGGAGCAUCACUUUGCAGCUCCCAACCAGGGCCAGCCACAAAAUUUGAAAGGCCCAGUGCAAAAUAAAAAUGCAGAGCCCCUUGUUCAAAAAGCAGGAAAAGAAUGGGCCAGCAAAGGAACUAAAAUAAACGAAAGCUUUUCCCUUUC